AAGGUUUUUGACUAGGUGAGAGACCAGGUUCAGGUGAGUCACAAUACAACAAUUAAAGGGGUUUAUGGACCCCCAGCCCCCCAUCACUCCCUCCAGCUCCAACAGGAGAAAUAUAAACCCCUUAUGAGGGCUAACCAAUCAAACCAUAAAAUCCAAUAGCCAUACAGUUCAGCUGGAAGAAUGUUCCUUUGUUAAACAAACAAUGUGUCUGGAACACUUUUUGGUCCAUUGUUCCAUUCCAGGACAGAGACUGAAGCUAUAGAAAUAAAUUAGUGAUUUCAAUCAUGCUCAUCCUGGACUGAUCCUACUGGCACAUGGAAACUUCCUGGCUGGGGCUGAAGAAGAGAAUUAACUCUUUCAGGCAAAGUGGAAACAUGAAGUUUUAUGAGAGAGAGAAGAAACCUUUGGUGGUGCACAGGGAUUUGAAUUCAGACUCUCCACAGCACCGGACAAUUGCGCAGUGUUGAAGUCUCAUGCUGGUCUGUAAAGCCAGGCCAGAAGAGGAACUGGGAAUAAUUAGGAUGGGAGAUUACAUCCAACUUACAGUUUGUGGAUUCUACCCCUGAAUUCUAUCCACAAAACCCUCAAGAUUCAAGAACCCUUGAUGCUGUCAUAUGGCCCCAGGAGUCAUCAGAUAUAAGCACCCUAAGAAGCUGUCCAGGGGUAGCAGGGAGACUCUGUCUUCAGUGAAGGAGGACACUUAAGGCUGAAGUGGCCCCAAGAACCACCCUCAUCAUCUGUCAAGCCCAGAUAUAACCAUUCUGUAUCCUCAGACCUCAAAGCCUUAAAGACUCUGUCUACCACGUACACCACCCACUUCAGCUAAACCUUUCACACUUGCACAGUCCACGCCAGCAUCUCAGCAUCCUGAGGGUGGCACCCAGUAACAAAGAAAAUCAGCAAAGCACACAGCUGGCUAAGGUGAUGCACAGACCAGAAACCCUUGACAAGGACAACCGUGACAUUCGUUGAGCCAUAGCAUCUGGUACUGCAGUUUGGGAUAUGGCAGAUCAAAGCCCAGAAACCUCCUUCCAACCCCUUCUGAGGAAUCCUAGAGAUCUCCAGAAGCACCCUGUCAGUUGGUAAAAGACUCCAGACAUAAAGGACUUGGUAAAGAGCCACACCCAGCUCCCUUCCUCCUCCGUGUAAACCCUCAGCCUGCUUUUCACUAGACCCACUGCCCAGCUUUGUGCAAAACCUGGACACUGCUCAUCUCUGUGGCUGGGUGAGUGCCACCUCCUGGGGAGUAUGAGAGAAUAAAGAACAAGAGGAGCAGAAGCAAGAAGACCUUAUUUCAAGGCCCAGCCCUGCUACUCACCCACUUGACAAGGUGCUUUACGUUUCCUAGUCGGUGAGAAGGGACAUUAGCUGCUCUAACCUCCUCAGGGUUGGGGAGGUUGGGGUGGGGGGAGGCUAAAACGAGCAUCAGAGGAGAAUGCUGAAGGUUAAUGUUUUCAUUAUAGAGUCUUUGGAGAUGGAAAUAGACAUGUACCUGGAUUUGGGGGCUUGGAGGCUUGCCUUGCCCCUCCCUGCUUUCCCUGUGCAUCCCCACCCCAGGCUGCCCGGAGGCGUCCCCUCUGAGAUCAAAUCCAGCCAGCCCUACUGUGCCUCCCUGUCUCAGCUGUGCGGUCCCAGGGGCAGGGGCUGCAGAGUUCUUUGUUGUGUUCCCCAAAGAUCCCUCGGGGUAGGAAAGAGGCAAGGGAGAAGCCCAAGGUCCCAGCCUGCUGCCUCAGGGUGGGACAAGCAGGACAGGAACACAGCCAAAGCCAGAGGGAAAUCAUCGCAUCUUCCCCAGUCAUUAGUGUGAGCAGCAGCGGCACGACUGUUCCUACACUCAGGAGAGCAUGGCAGCGUCACGAAUAAACAGUAGAGACGAGGGCAUCAUUAAAACCCA
rnacentral:lncRNA from 1 species